rnacentral:rRNA from 1 species
UGAACGCUGGCGGCGUGCCUAAUACAUGCAAGUCGAGCGAACGGACGAGAAGCUUGCUUCUCUGAUGUUAGCGGCGGACGGGUGAGUAACACGUGGAUAACCUACCUAUAAGACUGGGAUAACUUCGGGAAACCGGAGCUAACACCGGAUAAUAUUUUGAACCGCAUGGUUCAAAAGUGAAAGACGGUCUUGCUGUCACUUAUAGAUGGAUCCGCGCUGCAUUAGCUAGUUGGUAAGGUAACGGCUUACCAAGGCAACGAUGCAUAGCCGACCUGAGAGGGUGAUCGGCCACACUGGAACUGAGACACGGUCCAGACUCCUACGGGAGGCAGCAGUAGGGAAUCUUCCGCAAUGGGCGAAAGCCUGACGGAGCAACGCCGCGUGAGUGAUGAAGGUCUUCGGAUCGUAAAACUCUGUUAUUAGGGAAGAACAUAUGUGUAAGUAACUGUGCACAUCUUGACGGUACCUAAUCAGAAAGCCACGGCUAACUACGUG